rnacentral:rRNA from 1 species
UACGUAGGUGGCGAGCGUUGUCCGGAUUUACUGGGCGUAAAGGGAGCGUAGGCGGACUUUUAAGUGAGAUGUGAAAUACCCGGGCUUAACUUGGGUGCUGCAUUUCAAACUGGAAGUCUAGAGUGCAGGAGAUGAGAAUGGAAUUCCUAGUGUAGCGGUGAAAUGCGUAGAGAUUAGGAAGAACACCAGUGGCGAAGGCGAUUCUCUGGACUGUAACUGACGCUGAGGCUCGAAAGCGUGGGGAGCAAACAGGAUUAGAUACCCCGGUAGU